CUGCAGAGUGAAGGGAAAAAUGCCGCACGGGGAGCAGACACGCCCACAGAAGAAAUGUACCAUCAAAUCCAGGAUCUUUUGACCCUGUUUGGAGUUCCCUAUGUAAUUGCUCCACAAGAGGCAGAAGCACAAUGUGCGUGGAUGAAUUCAGAAGGUCUUGUAGAUGCUGUCAUAACGGAAGACAGCGAUGCAUUUUUGUUCGGCGCGAGUACUGUAUAUCGCAAUGUGUUCAACACCAAAAAAUACGUGGAAGUAUACUCUGUAGAAAAUAUACAGCGGGAUAUAGGUCUUAAACGGGCACAGAUGGCUGAACUCGCACUGUUGCUCGGAUCCGAUUACACAGAAGGUAUACCUGGGGUGGGUAUUGUUAAUGCUCUUGAAAUUGCAUCUGUAUUCUCCGGAAUGGAUGGCCUAACGACAUUUCGAAACUGGGUGGAAAAUGGUGAUCUUCCUGAUCAAGUUAAUCGUGGGAAUCGAUGUUUGGCAGGGUCAAGUUUGCCAAAAAAACAUGUCGUGGCAAAAGAUGGCGAAGGCGGCCAUUUAGUGUCGGACAAGGAAAAAAACAUCGAUUUGAAGGAAGGUGAAGUUGCAAAUAUCUACCUCCAACGAGAAAUCUUCAAGCAAAAGCACCAAGCCGCGAGAACAAGAUGGAUUUUACCAAAUGACUUUCCUUCAGUUGCGGUGAUCGAAGCGUAUGCAAAGCCUUUAGUUGACUCCUCGAAGGUGCACCUUGAAUGGGGCAAGCCUAACUUUGAGCUCCUUCGCGUCUUUUGUCUCGAAAG
rnacentral:lncRNA from 1 species